rnacentral:rRNA from 1 species
GAGUUUGAUCCUGGCUCAGGAUGAACGCUAGCGAUAGGCUUAACACAUGCAAGUCGAGGGGCAGCAUGGUCUUAGCUUGCUAAGACUGAUGGCGACCGGCGCACGGGUGCGUAACGCGUAUGUAACUUGCCUGAUAGAAAGGGAUAACCCGGUGAAAGUCGGACUAAUACCUUAUGGUCUUGGGUUAUUGCAUGAUGAUUCAAGUAAAGAUUAAUUGCUAUCAGAUAGGCAUGCGUUCCAUUAGUUAGUUGGUGAGGUAACGGCUCACCAAGGCGACGAUGGAUAGGGGAACUGAGAGGUUUAUCCCCCACACUGGUACUGAGACACGGACCAGACUCCUACGGGAGGCAGCAGUGAGGAAUAUUGGUCAAUGGGCGAGAGCCUGAACCAGCCACGUCGCGUGAAGGAAGACGGUUCUAUGGAUUGUAAACUUCUUUUGUAGGGGAUUAAAGUA